GGACAGGAGACUUUCAGAGAUGCUUUGGUGCCUUCGGGAACUCUGAGACAGGUGCUGCAUGGCUGUCGUCAGCUCGUGUUGUGAAAUGUUGGGUUAAGUCCCGCAACGAGCGCAACCCUUAUCCUUUGUUGCCAGCGGUCCGGCCGGGAACUCAAAGGAGACUGCCAGUGAUAAACUGGAGGAAGGUGGGGAUGACGUCAAGUCAUCAUGGCCCUUACGAGUAGGGCUACACACGUGCUACAAUGGCGCAUACAAAGAGAAGCGACCUCGCGAGAGCAAGCGGACCUCAUAAAGUGCGUCGUAGUCCGGAUUGGAGUCUGCAACUCGACUCCAUGAAGUCGGAAUCGCUAGUAAUCGUGGAUCAGAAUGCCACGGUGAAUACGUUCCCGGGUCUUGUUACACACCGA
rnacentral:rRNA from 1 species